UCAACUAUAUCGUUGAAAUCA
rnacentral:snRNA from 1 species